rnacentral:rRNA from 1 species
UACGUAGGUGGCAAGCGUUAUCCGGAAUUACUGGGCGUAAAGAGCGCGCAGGCGGUCGUUCAAGUCGCGUGUGAAAGCCCCCGGCUCAACUGGGGAGGGUCACGCGAUACUGAUCGACUCGAAGGCAGGAGAGGAUAGUGGAAUUCCCGGUGUAGUGGUGAAAUGCGUAGAUAUCGGGAAGAACACCCGUGGCGAAGGCGGCUCUCUGGGACGGUACUGACGCUGAGACGCGAAAGCGUGGGGAGCGAACAGG